CUCACCGGCCUGCUGUUCCCGGGGGCAGGGGGCGGAAUGCCGUGCGCUCUGGAGAUCGUCACUCCGCUGCCCUGGAGGACAGCUUGUAGAACAUCUCAAACCAGGGAAGGUGGCUGUGGAGAGAGGACACAGGUUCCAUGAAGCGCCUCUAGGUCGAGACCUCCUUUCCCUCUCGCCCCAUAUUCCACACCUGAGGAUGCAGAGACAGCUGUGAGCACCAGCCCGGAGGCGACAGAAACCGAAUCGACGGGUGCCGGUCAGGACCACCAGAGGGAGCUGGACCAGAGAGUGGACAUUGGAUCACCAGGGAAGUGGACAGCCAACAGCAGUCAGAACACAGUUAAUUUUGUGUUCAGCACUCCAGCGGACCUGUCUCCAGCUUUGUGGGUGUUGGGAGAUCUUGGUGAUGGCCUCGAUUAGGCGUCCAGAGGAUACCAGUGACUUCUGAAGCUAGGUCAGAAAAAUGCAAUGCAUUCUGCUUGCUCUCCUGGGAUACUUGCUCUUGAGGAGAAGGGGUCGGCCAUCAUGCUGUGAGGAAGCCCAAGCAGACUGUGGAGAGGUACUGAUGCCCUCCUACCUGCCCCUGCUGAAUCCCCAGCCAACAGUUGGCAUCAAGUUGGCAGCCAUGUGACUGAGCCACCUUGAAAGUAGAUUCCUCAGCCUCCAGCUGAGAUUCUGUACCUGAUGCCAAAGGGAGCAGAGAUGAGCUGCCUUGCCAAGCCCUGCCCAAAUUACAGAUUUGGAAACAAAAUAAAUAACUGCUGUUUUAAGCCCCUAACAUUUUGGGAUAGUUUGUUACACAGAAAAAGCUGAUACACCUUGUCUAUCAUAACCUUUGUUUGAAAGAAGAUAAAAGCUCAGACAUUACACAGUUGGUGUGAGAGUUACAUGAGAUGAGACAUGUGCCAGGACAUUGAAGAGCUCCAUCCAUGUUAGUGACUGUUAUUCUGGCAGGACUGACCCUUGGGUGCUAGCCCCAGGCUGCCAUCUCCUCAGCAUUCUUCCCUAGAGAUUCCCUCCUCUGCUUUCCAUACUUGCAAGAUGCCCCACAGAAAAUGGCAGCAGCUCCAUUGGCAAGCACCCACUGUGCCAGGCACUCUGCUCACAAGAUCUCCUCGAAUCCUCACAAACAUCCCUUGGGUGGGUGGGUGGGAUCAUGGAAGGGGGAAGCACAUGAUCCCAUUAUAAGUGAGAAAAUUGAGGAUCAGAGAGGGCAAGUGGCUUAUUCAACGCGACACAGUUAAUUAGUGGCAUAGCCUGGUCUGUCUGACUCCAAAACUUCUGACCCCCUACCCCUGAC